rnacentral:rRNA from 1 species
UACGAAGGGGGCUAGCGUUGCUCGGAAUGACUGGGCGUAAAGCGUGCGCAGGCGGUAAUGUAAGACAGGUGUGAAAUCCCCGGGCUUAACCUGGGAACUGCAUUUGUGACUGCAUUGCUGGAGUGCGGCAGAGGGGGAUGGAAUUCCGCGUGUAGCAGUGAAAUGCGUAGAUAUGCGGAGGAACACCGAUGGCGAAGGCAAUCCCCUGGGCCUGCACUGACGCUCAUGCACGAAAGCGUGGGGAGCAAACAGG